ACUCCUACGGGAGGCAGCAGUGGGGAAUUUUGCGCAAUGGGCGAAAGCCUGACGCAGCAACSCCSCGUGGGUGAUGAAGGUCUUCGGAUCGUAAAACCCUGUCGUCGGGGACGAAGGUGGAGGGGUUAAUAGCCUCUUUGCUUGACGGUACCCGGAGAGGAAGCCCCGGCUAACUCUGUGCCAGCAGCCGCGGUAAUACAGAGGGGGCAAGCGUUAUUCAGAAUUAUUGGGCGUAAAGGGCGCGUAGGCGGCUUUUUAAGUGAGAUGUGUAAUCCCUGAGCUCAACUUGGGAACUGCAUCUCAUACUGGGAGGCUAGAGUACUGGAGAGGGUGGUAGAAUUCCACGUGUAGCGGUGAAAUGCGUAGAGAUGCGGAGGAAUACCAGUGGCGAAGGCGGCCACCUGGACAGUAACUGACGCUGAGGCGCGAAAGUGUGGGUAGCAAACAGGAUUAGAUACCCUGGUAGUCCACACUGUAAACGAUGAACACUUGGUGUGGAGGGAGUUGACCCCUUCCGUGCCGUAGCUAACGCGUUAAGUGUUCCGCCUGGGGAGUACGGUCGCAAGGCUGAAACUCAAAUGAAUUGACGG
rnacentral:rRNA from 1 species